rnacentral:rRNA from 1 species
GACGUAGGAUGCAAGCGUUGUCCGGAUUUAUUGGGCGUAAAGAGUUCGUAGGUGGUUUGUUAAGUCUGAUGUUAAAGACUGGGGCUCAACCUCGGAAAUGCAUUGGAUACUGGCAGACUUGAGUGUGGUAGAGGCAAUCGGAAUUCCAGGUGUAGCGGUGAAAUGCGUAGAUAUCUGGAAGAACACCGGUGGCGCAAGCGGAUUGCUGGGCCAUAACUGACACUGAGGAACGAAAGCUAGGGUAGCGAAUGGG